rnacentral:rRNA from 1 species
CUACGUGCCAGCAGCCGCGGUAAUACGUAGGGAGCGAGCGUUAUCCGGAUUUAUUGGGUGUAAAGGGUGCGUAGACGGAAAUGCAAGUUAGUUGUGAAAUACCUCGGCUUAACUGAGGAACUGCAACUAAAACUAUAUUUCUUGAGUAUCGGAGGGGUUUGUGGAAUUCCUAGUGUAGCGGUGAAAUGCGUAGAUAUUAGGAGGAACACCGGUGGCGAAGGCGACAAACUGGACGAUAACUGACGUUGAGGCACGAAAGUGUGGGGAGCAAACAGGAUUAGAUACCCUGGUAGUCCACACCGUAAACGAUGGAUACUAGGUGUUGGCAAUGAAUAAUUGUCGGUGCCGGCGCUAACGCAAUAAGUAUCUCACCUGGGGAGUACGACCGCAAGGUUGAAACUCAAAGGAAUUGACGGGGGCCCGCACAAGCAGUGGAGUAUGUGGUUUAAUUCGAAGAUACGCGAAGAACCUUACCAAGGCU